UCCUACGGGAGGCAGCAGUGAGGAAUAUUGGUCAAUGGGCGAGAGCCUGAACCAGCCAAGUCGCGUGAGGGAGUACUGCCCUAUGGGUUGUAAACCUCUUUUGUCGGGGAGCAAAAGCCGGACGUGUCCGGCUGUGAGAGUACCCGAAGAAAAAGCAUCGGCUAACUCCGUGCCAGCAGCCGCGGUAAUACGGAGGAUGCGAGCGUUAUCCGGAUUUAUUGGGUUUAAAGGGUGCGUAGGCGGUAGGUUAAGUCAGCGGUCAAAUGUCGGUGCUCAACACCGGCCUGCCGUU
rnacentral:rRNA from 1 species